GCCCCCUCAGCCAUAGCCAGGGCGGGGGCAGAUCCCACUGGGAGCCCUGAGUCCCCUCAGCCAUGGCCAGGGCGAGGGCAGGUCCCACUGCGAGCCCUGAGUCCCUUCAGCUCCCUCAGCCCCCUCUGCCAUAGCCAGGGCGAGGGCAGGUCCCACUGGGAGCCCUGAGUGCCCUCACAGCCGUGCCCAGCCCGUGUGGGUGGUUGCCCGUAGAAGUGGCCGCUCUGGGUGAUGGAUAAACCCCGCUUGGGUCAUUUUUUCCGUUCUGUUCGCCAAGUCUGAACCAAGCUGGUGGGCAGGGGUGUUCCCACCUCUAGGGUGCCCCCCACACCCGCUGGGUGUUUUGCUGCUCGAACACAGGCGUCUCCUCCUGCUGCCACCACAGCCCCAGAGCUGCCCCUUUCAUGGCACUUUGGGGAGGACACGAGGUUGGCUCAGCAUCUCUCAAGUAUCAGCCCACCCUGGGGAUUGAAGGCUGUGUUUCAGAUGAUGCUGAACCACAAAUGUGGAGCUGCUGCUGCUUCAGCCAGUGCUGCUGCCCAGGGGAGGGAGAGGCCACGAGUGUUCAUGUCUUCAGCACGACUUCUGUGGAGUCUUCAAGGAAAUAAAACAGGCUGGAGCAAACCCUGUGCCCUUGGAGAAAAUUGUUUCCCCUUUUCCUCCAGGGAAAAUCCAGAGCCCGAGCAGCAGCUGUGAAAGGGGUGGAGAGAUAAAGAAAGAAGUUGGGGAGAUGCUGGAAGUGCUUUGGGCGACGUGAAAAGAAGGAUUUUGCACGGAAAGGAGCUGUUUCAAGGGCCCAGCAGCAAAACCAGAGACACACACACACACACACACAAAAAAAAAAAGCUUAUAUAUAGAAGAAUGUAAACCCUCCUGUAAGCAGAGUUGCCCGUGCAUGCCUCGUGAUGAGAACGUAAGCGACAUUCCCUGUGGUGCCGGCGGUGCGAUCCCGGGCUGGGGGAUCUCCCCCUGGAACACCGUCCGUGCCGAGCUAACGACCCCUUGGAAUGCCGGGCUGGCGGCGGGCGCCGUGUGUAAAUAUUGACGCUCCGGCACCAGAAGAUCUGCUCUCCCCCUGGGUGAUGUUUGUACUGGCAAGGGAAGCAUGCUGUGAACUCCCUGCGAAUUCCCUGUGAAUUCCCCGUGAAUUCCCUGCCCAGGCGCAGCCGGGCAGCGUCUGUACCCUCCUCGUGGGCAGGAAACCAGCACAGUUCCUCUCUCCCCCCCGUUUGUUUUCUCACAGCCCCGGGUUUCGAUCAGCUGGGAAGACCAGGGAGCGCUUUCCAAAGGGAAAACAAAAGGCUCCGGCUCGGGUUUCAGCGGGAGCGGAGCGGGCUGAGAUCAUUGUCUGCGCUCCCGCCGCCCGCGCGGCUGCGGGGAAAGCCUGGAUGAAUUUUUAAAGCAGCUCCCGGCCAAGGCAGCUCCCAGCACAGGCUGGAAUUCUGUAUUCCAAGGGGGAAAAGCAGCCCAGCGUGGGCUGCUGGUCACCUCCUGUCGUGCUGCUCAGAUUUGGCCGGGUCAGUCCCGGGCUGCCCCGCUGACACCCAGCCCGGGGUUUAACAUCCAUUCCACAGCCCGCCCUCUUCUCCCAGAAUUAUUUUCAGUGGUAAAAACAUCAGGAAUGGGACCAGGCCUCCCGUCAGACACCUCUGUGUGCCCAGGAGAGGCGUCACCAACACAAACACGCAGCAAAUCACCCAAAUCGGGGAGCUGUGAGUGAUGAGGGAGCACAAACCCAUCCCACUGCUGCCGCAGAGCACCGGGCAGGGAUCGCCCUCAUCCAGCCCAGCCCGACACUGAAGAAUUCCCUGCAAUCACCAACACUUCUUGAAUCAAUUCCAUCCGAGCUGUGAGUUUGUUCUGUCUCUGUGUCACACUAAAGUCACGUUUCUGUAUCACAGUAAAAUUACAGGGGUCUUAAACCCCCGGCAGAGGCAGAGACUGUUCCUGCUGAUCAACCCCAGUGCAGGCAGAACUGGUUAAACUGCUGCAGUCUCUGUGUCCACAGAGCCUGGAAUGAGGCAAUUCCCUGCUGGAAAACUGCACUGCCACGUGCAAAAUGGCCCACAGUGAGGACACAAACUUAAUAUUGAGUUUUCCUAGGAAUGGUUUUAAAACAUCUGUCCAGGAUGUCGACAGGAGCCCGACUGUGAAUAACAAACUACCUGUGGCUCCACAUUAAAUCCUGGACACACAUUUUCUGCCCAGGUCCAAACUUUUGGCUGUUUCCCACCCCCCAGCAGGUGAACAGCAUCUGCACAACAUUCCUUGGAGCCACUUCUCUCCCAGCAAAUGGGAUUUGCAGUCCAGGCCUCGGACUCAGCCCCAUUUCCGUGUCCCCCUGGGCUGGGGGUGAGCUGGACUUGCCCAUCCCACCCCAGCUCAAAAUCCAGGAGAUGGGGCAGUGUGAAUGCCAUGGGAAUUGGGCUUCCUCAUGAAGUGGAGGGGAGUGAUCCUCAUGUGCUGCUCCUGCCUUGGGCUUCUUGCCCUCUCCCAGCGACCCCUCACAUUCCAAAGGCCACCUUUGUUCCCAGACAGAGCCCUGUUCCCAGCACAGGACAAUCCCAGUGCCUUGGAUCACACUCCACCUGCAGCACAAGGAUCUCUCACAUCCCAGCACUUCCAAGCACAGCUCUGCCCUCCCCAGGAGUGGGAAAAGCUGCUGUUCCAGGAUGGCCAGUGCCCACCUCCAGGAAAAAAAAUUAAACUACAAACCACUACAAAACAAGUGGAUCUUUUUUUUUCCCUGACAAUAUUUAUUUGAACACAGGAGGGAAUUCUGAUGUGACUGAUCCAACCUCACUGGGCAGGAAAACCCGAGGGCUCGAGUUCCCUGAGGGGUUUAAUAUUUACACAAAGUGACUUUGGAGCUUGAUAAAUAUUCACUGAAAGCUUCUGGGUGUUAAAUGGCCUUUAUUAAUGACACCCAUUAUUGGUUACACCCUUGAUUAGUUACACCCUGGAUUAGUUACACCCUGGAUUAGUUACACCAUCACUUCCAAGUGGCUCCUCAGCAGAGCAAACCCAGCUCAGGGGGGGUUUAAUUCCAUGGGUAUUUCCAGCAUCACCUUUCCAGUCAAUUCAAACACCAGCUCACCACAAAACCCUUCCCAUCAUCGAUCCCUAGGACACUGCAGAACUUCCCAGUCUCUC